UUGUGAGCUCGAUGAGUAGGGCGGGACACGUGGUAUCCUGUCUGAAUAUGGGGGGACCAUCCUCCAAGGCUAAAUACUCCUGACUGACCGAUAGUGAACCAGUACCGUGAGGGAAAGGCGAAAAGAACCCCGGCGAGGGGAGUGAAAAAGAACCUGAAACCGUGUACGUACAAGCAGUGGGAGCCCCACCACUAAGCCAGUGGUGAACUCCACAUACGCAUCCUUUGCUGAAGGUGCGGUUAACGGAGCGCAAGCGACGUUCAACCUCAAAAGAAGCAGAGGGGGCUUAGUGGU
rnacentral:rRNA from 1 species